rnacentral:tRNA from 1 species
GCCUGGGUGGCUCAGUCGGUUAAGUGUCUGCCUUCAGCUCAGGUCGUGGGAUCAAGUCCCACAUUAGGCU